UGGGCUGCGGUGAUUAUAAAGUAAUUCCUCGUACUGAACGCUGUUGCCACAGCUUGACAGACUCAUUUACACCCAUAGAAUAUGAGCUCC